rnacentral:rRNA from 1 species
GAGCGGCAAAAGCUCAAAUUUGAAAUCUGGCUCUUUCAGAGUCCGAGUUGUAAUUUGAAGAAGGUAUCUUUGGGUCUGGCUCUUGUCUAUGUUUCUUGGAACAGAACGUCACAGAGGGUGAGAAUCCCGUGCGAUGAGAUGAUCCAGGCCUAUGUAAAGUUCCUUCGAAGAGUCGAGUUGUUUGGGAAUGCAGCUCUAAGUGGGUGGUAAAUUCCAUCUAAAGCUAAAUAUUGGCGAGAGACCGAUAGCGAACAAGUACAGUGAUGGAAAGAUGAAAAGAACUUUGAAAAGAGAGUGAAAAAGUACGUGAAAUUGUUGAAAGGGAAGGGCUUGAGAUCAGACUUGGUAUUUUGUAUGUUACUUCUUCGGGGGUGGCCUCUACAGUUUAUCGGGCCAGCAUCAGUUUGGGCGGUAGGAGAAUUGCGUUGGAAUGUGGCACGGCUUCGGUUGUGUGUUAUAGCCUUCGUCGAUACUGCCAGCCUAGACUGAGGACUGCGGUUUAUACCUAGGAUGUUGGCAUAAUGAUCUUAAGUCGCCCGUCUUGAAACACGGACA